rnacentral:RNase_P_RNA from 1 species
AAUUUAGUGGCAAAUGCUGCAUAAAAUAGUUAUGUAGAGGAAAGUCCAUGCUCGCACAGGCUGAGAUGCCUGUAGUGUUUGUGCCUAGGGAAAAAAUAACCUAGGGUAGUUUAUGCUAACGGCUUCGAGGAAACCUUAAAUGGUUUUAUUAGAUAUAAAAGUGCCAAAGAGACGAGUUGCUUGGGAAACUGAGUAAGUGGAACGUGGUAAACCCCACAAGCGAGAAACCCAAAUUAUGGUAGGGGAGUUUAUUUUAAAGAAAUGAAUUUGAAAUAGAUGCCUUCGGGUAAGAUAAAUAUUUGCCCCUUAUCUUUAUUGAUAAGGACAGAACAUGGCUUAUUAAA